rnacentral:rRNA from 1 species
GACGAACGCUGGCGGCGUGCUUAACACAUGCAAGUCGAACGAUGAAGAAAAGAAUCGAAGCUUCGGCAGAAAUUCAUUUCGGAUUAGUGGCAGACGGGUGAGUAACGCGUGAGCAACCUACCUCUUACAAAGGGAUAGCCUCGGGAAACCGGGAUUAAUCCCAUAUAACAUUGCGACGAAGCAUUUCGAUGCAAUCAAAGCUACGGCGGUAAGAGAUGGGCGCUCGUCCCAUUAACCGGAUGGUGAGGUAACGGCUCACCAUAGCUACGAUGGGUAACCGGGCAGAGAGGGUGAACGGUCACACUGGAGGUGAGACGCGGUCGAGACUCUUACGGGAGGCAGCAGUGGGGAAUAUUGCAAAAUGGAGGGAACGAAGAUGCAGCGACGCCGCGAGAGUGAUGAAGGAAUUCGUUACGUAAAACUCUGUUCUAUGGGAAGAAAAGGACUGUACCAAAGGAGAAAGCUCCGGCUAAAUACGUG